rnacentral:tRNA from 1 species
GGAUUGUGGCUCAGCGGUAGAGCACUCGUUUAGCACAUAUGAGGCCCUGGGUUCAAUCCUCAGCACCA